ACCUCUCUCCUGUCUCAGGGUUUUGCAGGUGCUGCCUACAACCCCUGGUUUUCUCCUUCACUUCCCCAGAUGUCUGGUCAAAUGUCAUUUACCAGAAUCCCUGGCUUCCUCCCUCACUUCCCCAGAUGUCUGGUCAAAUGUCAUUUACAAAAAAGCCUUCCCUGGCCAAGCUGCAUAAAAGUGUGAACUUCAGGGAGCCAGGACUUUGUUAUCAUCAUCUCUGCAUCCCCACGGACUAAUCCCAUCUCUGACAAAUACUAAGCGCUCAGUAAGUAUUUGCUGACUCAAGAAAGAUGCAGCACGAGACUGUACCUAGUUCACUGACUGGAACAAGCAGAACAAGUCACCUCUUCUGGAAAGGGCAGAAAGCAGAAAUACAGAGGAGAUCAACAUAGACCAGCACCACCGCUGAGCCGACUACAGUGCCCAAUCCUCCCCCAUGCACCCUCCUCACCCCUCACCUGCCACUGUCUGAGCCCCAAAACCACCCACAUUCACCUCCCCAAGGGCUAGAAAGGAGCAAGCAUCCCCCAGCGUCCCACCCCACCCCACUGGGGCUGCUCUUAUCAGAGCCCAAGACAUCGACGUUAAGUUACCCUUAAACGGAGCAAUUUACAUCUGUAAUUUCCGGAUAAAGGAAUGUAUUUCAUCAGCCCUGCUGAACCCUGGACAGCAGAGAUUUCUACCACCCAUCUGCCGAAGACACAGCAGUGCCUUGCUUCUCCCUGGCUAAAAGCAUUUGCUAGCCCAUCCCUGCAAAACAAGUCAUGUUCUUUCCCUUGCGCUAAAACCCGUCCAUAAACAAAUCCUCUCUGUGUCCCUAAGAAACGGCCCCCACGCCCACGGAGGGCGCCCUACACAUGCAGAAAUACACACUCACAAACCCCAAGAGCCACCAGGUAUAAGCACGUUUGAAUUCUGUUCUUUAAGAACAAACGAACAACAAUAACAAAAUCCAUCUACUAGAAUGUAACUGAAACUAAAAGCAGUGGCUAGGAAGCUUAUGGAAACGGAGCUAUAAAUGCCAGCAGCCUGACAUUUAUAAGUUGAAAAACUACUUAUGGCGCUAAUAGUUCAAACAGGGUUUAAAAACAGCCCUUGGGGAGGCCGCUUUCAGAGAAGCGCACAGCUCCAGGCAGCGGGCAAGCCCUUGCUUUUCUGCGCCGGCUUCCCAAGACUCUUCGGUCUUUUGUGCCAUUUACUAUGAACAGCACUCAGCGGUGCGAGCGUGUAUAUUUCAGGCCAGGCAGAAGCGCCUGGGAGUCCUGGCGCACGCUGGGUCCGCGCCCGGGCUGGGUCGGUUGCACCGCAGCGAGCAACGCCGUCCCCUACCUGGGUGGGAAAUCCGCUGGCAGACGCCUCCGGAUGCAGGCAGAGCAGCUUCCACCCCGGUAGCCCUGCGUGCAGCUCCGGCUAACGCGGCGCUGGGCGAUCCGGGCGGAGGCAGUAGCCGGCCGGUGUCACACCUGCAUCACCGCCCCCACGCCGCCGCCGCCAGCCGCCCAGGCGCAGCGCGCAGCGCGCAGCGCGCCCCCGCACUACAGAGCACCCGGGGCGGGAGGCUCCUGGGUCCUCUAUUCAGCGGGAUCAGAUCCUAACCCGCUUUCUUCCCGGCCUGGGCAUUAAAAGUAUUCGCUGCGGACAGCUCUGCUUCUAAAUCCCCUCUGAUCCAAGGCUGGGUGUGGAGAUAGCUCAGAGGGAAGGAGGACCAGUGAGGCCGCAAGGUCUCCGGAUUUGCAGACUAAUAGAUAUUAAACUUCUUAUUCCUCGAGUUUUGUAACCAGCUGAUCAUGGGCGUCGUCUCGCUGUCUCCACCCCGCCUAGGGCGAGGGGGCGCUGUGGACUCCACAUGCCCUUCCACCCACUCCGAGCUAGGAUGCGUCAGAGGACUAGACGCAAGUUCCCGGGAAAGGGAAUCCUCUGAUCACGGCGCCCCCAAAGUAUGUACUUUGGUGCUGUUCAACUGCUUUGUUUUCGUUUGCCUCAUCAGGAACUGAAAAGAACCUACCUGACCAGCGCGGGGAGGAGGAAAGCCUGCGAGGCUUGGUGCAUUCAAACAAGCCCUCCACCUCUUUCUCCCUACUUCCAAACCACCACCCACUAACUCCACUGAGGAGAGUUCAGCAAACUAAACUGCCAAGGCUCAGCACCGAAAGGCUCUUUAGGAGAAUAGGGUUCCUUCUAGGAGGAAGUGAGGAGCAAGGAAAGGACACCGGAAAUUUCGGACGCGGGUUCAAACAGUACAACACCGCAGAUGCCUGGCCCGCUCUAGGAUCCAUAUCAUUACAUGUAUCAGUAGGUCAUUUUUUUCUUAUUGCUGAAUAGUAUUCUAUUGCCUGAAUAUAACACAAUUUAUUUAUCCUUUC